rnacentral:rRNA from 1 species
UACGUAGGGUGCGAGCGUUGUCCGGAAUUAUUGGGCGUAAAGGGCUCGUAGGCGGUCUGUCGCGUCGGGAGUGAAAACUCAGGGCUUAACCCUGAGCCUGCUUCCGAUACGGGCAGACUAGAGGUAUGCAGGGGAGAACGGAAUUCCUGGUGUAGCGGUGGAAUGCGCAGAUAUCAGGAGGAACACCGGUGGCGAAGGCGGUUCUCUGGGCCUGACCUGACGCUGAGGAGCGAAAGCGUGGGGAGCGAACAGG